rnacentral:rRNA from 1 species
UACGGAAGGCAGCAGUGGGGAAUAUUGCACAAUGGGCGCAAGCCUGAUGCGGCCAUGCCGCGUGUAUGAAGAAGGCCUUCGGGUUGUAAAGUACUUUCAGUCGUGAGGAAGGUGUUAAGGUUAAUAACCUUAGCAAUUGACGUUAGCGACAGAAGAAGCACCGGCUAACUCCGUGCCAGCAGCCGCGGUAAUACGGAGGGUGCGAGCGUUAAUCGGAAUUACUGGGCGUAAAGGGCACGCAGGCGGUUAAUUAAGUUGGAUGUGAAAUCCCCGGGCUUAACCUGGGAAUGGCAUUCAAGACUGGUUAGCUAGAGUCUUGUAGAGGGGGUAGAAUUCCAUGUGUAGCGGUGAAAUGCGUAGAGAUGUGGAGGAAUACCGGUGGCGAAGGCGGCCCCUGGACAAAGACUGACGCUCAUGUGCGAAAGCGUGGGGAGCAAACAGGGAUUAGAUACC